CACGUAGGGCGCAAGCGUUGUCCGGAAUUAUUGGGCGUAAAGAGCUCGUAGGCGGUCUGUUGCGUCCGCUGUGAAAACUCGGGGCUUAACCCCGAGCCUGCAGUGGAUACGGGCAGACUAGAGGUAGGUAGGGGAGAAUGGAAUUCCCGGUGUAGCGGUGAAAUGCGCAGAUAUCGGGAGGAACACCGGUGGCGAAGGCGGCGACCUGGGUCGAGACUGACGCUGAGGCGCGAAAGCGUGGGGAGCAAACAGG
rnacentral:rRNA from 1 species